UCACCAACCAGCGAAAAAGCCGAUCACCUCCUCCGUCGACUUCUUCAACGGAGUCAGAGCAGAGCGGCUGUUGGUAACCGGCUGCCUCGACGCGCAGCAUGCGCCAGUUGCAGUCACUCGAACGACGUGCUCAGACCGCCUCUCCCGGUAUUGAGGUCGCGCCUCGACGCGUACCCCCAUCGCCGGCUGGCUGUUCGCCCGCUUGGUAGCUGAGGACCGAGAGCAGCGUCCCGAGCAGCCUGGGGCUGCCGCUUGAGGGCGCCAGCGCGCACGUGGUGUUUGCGAGUAAGCCGUCACAUGACGCGAUUGCACCGCUCAAGGGAUGUGUAUGGGAAAGCGGUGGCGCCGCGCUAUUUCGGUUCUUGACUGC
rnacentral:misc_RNA from 1 species